rnacentral:rRNA from 1 species
AUUGAACGCUGGCGGCAGGCUUAACACAUGCAAGUCGAGCGGGGAAAUGUAGCUUGCUACAUAACCUAGCGGCGGACGGGUGAGUAAUGCUUAGGAAUCUGCCUAUUAGUGGGGGACAACGUUUCGAAAGGAACGCUAAUACCGCAUACGCCCUACGGGGGAAAGCAGGGGAUCUUCGGACCUUGCGCUAAUAGAUGAGCCUAAGCCAGAUUAGCUAGUUGGUGGGGUAAAGGCCUACCAAGGCGACGAUCUGUAGCGGGUCUGAGAGGAUGAUCCGCCACACUGGGACUGAGACACGGCCCAGACUCCUACGGGAGGCAGCAGUGGGGAAUAUUGGACAAUGGGGGGAACCCUGAUCCAGCCAUGCCGCGUGUGUGAAGAAGGCCUUUUGGUUGUAAAGCACUUUAAGCGGGGAGGAGGCUCUUCUAGUUAAUACCUAGGAUGAGUGGACGUUACCCGCAGAAUAAGCACCGGCUAACUCUGUG